GAAACCAAAAACACGAACAAAGAAGAAGAAAAGAACUCACGAAAAAAAGAAGAAAAAAGAAGAAAUCAUGGAGAAGGGUUGAAGGUUCAUCGAUCUCUUCUUCUCCUUCCUUCUCCUCUUCAUCUUUCCCCAUAUCUCUCUUCUCUUCAUCAUAAUCUUCUUCCUCUUAUUCUUCUCUCUCUUUCCUCUUCACAAAAGAACAUCACUGACUACUUUCAUCGUCAAAAAGGUAAUUGAUUUUUUAUUAAUUCUUCAUGUUUCUAUUCAAUGAAUUAUGGAUAUAAGUAUUAGAUCUAAGAAUAAUUUCUGCUCAAUCUCUAAUUUUGACAUUUAUCUUCUUAGGUUUUCAACUUUUUGUUACAAGUGAUUACAUUACAGUUUGGAGCUUUCUUCUUCAGUCAAUAAUCAAUUAGAGAAAGAUCAAUUAGAGAAAGGUACAAUUUCCUGAUUUCACAAUUGUUAUUAUCAACAAAUAGUAUUAAAAUUUGGGGUUUUCUUCUAUGGAAUUUGGGGGUUUGGCUGAAUUUAGCUUAGCUUUUG
rnacentral:lncRNA from 1 species